AUUGAACGCUAGCGGCAGGCCUAACACAUGCAAGUCGCACGAGUGGCGGACGGGUGAGUAAUGUAUGGGAAAUUGCCUGAUGGAGCGGGUAAACUACUGGAAACGGUGGCUAAUACCGCAUACCAUGGGAUCGGCCACGAUUGGAGUAGCUAGUGGGGUGGGUAAAGGCGCACCUAGUCGAAGCUCCCUAGCUGGUCUGAGAGGAUGACCAGCAACACUUGGACUGAAACACGGGCCAGACUCCUAAGGGAGGCAGAAGUGGGGAAGAUUGAACAAUGGGCGAAAGCCUGACGCAGCCAUGCCGCGUGUAUGAAGAAGGCAUUCGGGUUGUAAAGUACUUUUGUCAGAGAAGCGUUACCUACAGAGUAAGCACCGGCUAACUCCGUGCCAGCAGCCGCGGUAAUAC
rnacentral:rRNA from 1 species